UUUCCGUAGGUGAACCUGCGGAAGGACCAUUAUUGAAUGAAGCACUUCUGGCUUUAUGCUGUUGUGCUGGCCCUUUGGGCAAUGUGCACACGGCUCUGGUCUCUUGUUUCUUCUGUUCCACCUGUGCACUGCCUGUAGACACGCUGUGUCUAUGAUAUUUGUUAACACACAACAAUGUUAGUUGGCAUGUUAUAUAUAAUAAUAAAAUAUACAACUUUCAACAACGGAUCUCUUGGCUCUC
rnacentral:misc_RNA from 1 species